ensembl:rRNA 5S_rRNA 5S ribosomal RNA
GCCAGCAGCCAUAUCACCCUGCAACUCGCAACCGGCAACACACUGAAGUUAAGCAGGUGUGAGCCUGGUCAGUACCUGGAUGGGAGACCUCGUGGGGAAAAAAGGUUGCUGCUGGAA